rnacentral:rRNA from 1 species
UACGUAGGGUGCAAGCGUUGUCCGGAAUUAUUGGGCGUAAAGAGCUCGUAGGCGGUCUGUCGCGUCUGCUGUGAAAACUCAGGGUUUAACCCUGAGCUUGCAGUGGGUACGGGCAGACUAGAGUGUGGUAGGGGAGACUGGAAUUCCUGGUGUAGCGGUGAAAUGCGCAGAUAUCAGGAGGAACACCGAUGGCGAAGGCAGGUCUCUGGGCCACUACUGACGCUGAGAAGCGAAAGCAUGGGGAGCGAACAGG